rnacentral:rRNA from 1 species
UACAGAGGGGGCAAGCGUUGUUCGGAAUUACUGGGCGUAAAGGGCGCGUAGGCGGCCUCUUAAGUCGAACGUGAAAUCCCCGGGCUCAACCCGGGAACUGCGUCCGAUACUGGGAGGCUUGAAUCCGGGAGAGGGAUGUGGAAUUCCAGGUGUAGCGGUGAAAUGCGUAGAUAUCAGGAGGAACACCGGUGGCGAAGGCGGAUCUCUGGGCCGUAACUGACGCUGAGGAGCGAAAGCGUGGGGAGCGAACAGG